AAUAGAUACCCUGGUAGUCCACGCCGUAAACGAUGAGUGCUAAGUGUUAGAGGGUUUCCGCCCUUUAGUGCUGCAGCUAACGCAUUAAGCACUCCGCCUGGGGAGUACGGCCGCAAGGCUGAAACUCAAAGGAAUUGACGGGGGCCCGCACAAGCGGUGGAGCAUGUGGUUUAAUUCGAAGCAACGCGAAGAACCUUACCAGGUCUUGACAUCCUCUGCCAACCCUAAAGAUAGGGCGUUCCCCUUCGGGGGACAGAGUGACAGGUGGUGCAUGGUUGUCGUCAGCUCGUGUCGUGAGAUGUUGGGUUAAGUCCCGCAACGAGCGCAACCCUUGAUCUUAGUUGCCAGCAUUCAGUUGGGCACUCUAAGGUGACUGCCGGUGACAAACCGGAGGAAGGUGGGGAUGACGUCAAAUCAUCAUGCCCCUUAUGACCUGGGCUACACACGUGCUACAAUGGAUGGUACAAAGAGCUGCGAACCCGCGAGGGUAAGCGAAUCUCAUAAAGCCAUUCUCAGUUCGGAUUGUAGG
rnacentral:rRNA from 1 species